UCAAUUCAUUCCUCCUUGCAGCAGCUCAAUAGACUACUCCCCUACCUUCUUCCACAUCUCCUCCUCCUCCAUCUUUCCCUUGCACCUCAAACAAGCAAUCAAUCCCGCCGUAGAUCAGAGUGGUUCGCGGGUGCUGCCCCGCCGGUCUCCUUGCGCUGCUAGUCCGAACCAGGGAGAGAGAGAGAGAGAGGGCGUGAAGUAUACCAGUUUAAUGCGACUCAUCACCUUGCGCUACUUAACCAGCUUUUGGUGCAAUGGCCAAACUACAGCUAUAAAAAUUCAGACCAAGGCUUUCGUUCUCCAUAUUUGCGUUCCCUUAUGGCUAAUGGGAAUUUUUAUUUCAAAGGAAAAUAUUAUUGGUCGAAAAUUGAUGGAGAUUUGGUUUGGUUUGAUCUGGAUGAUGAGGUUUUUGGUAAGAUUGAGCUGCCCUCUAAUGUUAAAAAUCUUCUUCACUAUACAAUUAUGAAAGAGAAUAUUGUUGUGUUAACUGGGCUUAAACCGUGUACGGUAAAUGAGUUUUGCACUGAGAUUUGGGUAAUGGAUGAAAAUAAUAAUAACAUUAAUUGGCAUAAACAUGCAAGUAUACCCUCUAGCGGUGACAUAUUUAGAAAUGAACAUUUUGAUCCGAUAGGAUUUUGGAAUCCGAGGAGCCAUUUGCUUGUGUUUUCCGGUCGUAUGGAUUUAAUGUAUACAAAUUUCUAUGAUAGUGGUAUUGAUGAUGAGGAGUUUUAUUUCAAGCCAGGUAUUUGACCGAAUUUAAUUUCUAUUGAUUUGGAAACCCAUGAAAAGAAGACUAUUUCUACAAGUCAAGAAAGGAAAAAGUAUUUUGUUUGAAUCAAGACGGGCAUGUUCAAGUUUGCAGCGAUAGGAGUGUUGAUAGUAAUAUUCUUUGGAACAUGGGAGCAUAUGCACGAACUUGUAAUGAGAGUUUGAAAUUACUUUAGCUAGCUAUAAAAGAAAAUAUGUAUUAAUGUUUGUUUACUUUGAGCGUUUCCUUUUAAUUUACACUUUUCAUGAAAG